rnacentral:rRNA from 1 species
AACGCUGGUCGGUAUGCUUAACACAUGCAAGUCGAACGGUAGAUACUUCGGUAUUGAGAGUGGCGGACGGGUGAGUAACGCGUAGGAAUUUGCCUGAUAGAUGGGGACAACUCAGGGAAACUUGAGCUAAUACCGAAUACGCCCUACGGGGGAAAGCGGGGGAUCUUCGGACCUCGCGCUAUCAGAUGAGCCUGCGUUGGAUUAGCUAGUUGGUGAGGUAAUGGCUCACCAAGGCGACGAUCCAUAGCUGGUCUGAGAGGACGAUCAGCCACACUGGGACUGAGACACGGCCCAGACUCCUACGGGAGGCAGCAGUGGGGAAUAUUGGACAAUGGGCGCAAGCCUGAUCCAGCAAUGCCGCGUGUGUGAAGAAGGCCUGAGGGUUGUAAAGCACUUUCAGUAGGGAAGAAAGGUCUAACGUUAAUAGCGUUGAACUGUGACGUUACCCCAGAAGAAGCACCGGCUAACUCCGUGCCAGCAGCCGCGGUAAUACGGAGGGUGCGAACGUUAAUCGGAAUUACUGGGCGUAAAGCGCGCGUAGGCGGCUUUGUAAGUCGAAUGUGAAAGCCCCGGGCUUAACCUGGGAACUGCAUUUAAAACUGGCUAACUCGAGUUUAGGAGAGGGAAGUGGAAUUUCAGGUGUAGCAGUGAAAUGCGUAGAGAUCUGAAGGAACACCAGUGGCGAAGGCGACUUCCUGGACUAAAACUGACGCUGAGGAACGAAAGCGUGGGUAGCAAACGGGAUUAGAUCCCCCGGUAGUCCACGCCGUAAACGAUGUCAACUAGCCGUUGGGCCUAUAUACAGGUUUAGUGGCGGAGCUAACGCAAUAAGUUGACCGCCUGGGGAGUACGGCCGCAAGGCUAAAACUCAAAUGAAUUGACGGGGGGCCGCACAAGCGGUGGAGCAUGUGGUUUAAUUCGAUGCAACGCGAAGAACCUUACCAUCCCUUGACAUCCAAAGAAUUUACUAGAGAUAGUUUAGUGCCUUCGGGAACUCUGAGACAGGUGCUGCAUGGCUGUCGUCAGCUCGUGUUGUGAAAUGUUGGGUUAAGUCCCGUAACGAGCGCAACCCUUGUCCUUAGUUGCCAGCGCGUAAUGGCGGGACUUUAAGGAGACCGCCGGUGACAAACCGGAGGAAGGUGGGGACGACGUCAAGUCAUCAUGGCCCUUACGGGAUGGGCUACACACGUGCUACAAUGGCCGGUACACAGGGCAGCAAACUCGCGAGAGUAAGCGAAUCCCACAAAGCCGGUCGUAGUCCGGAUUGGAGUCUGCAACUCGACUCCAUGAAGUCGGAAUCGCUAGUAAUCGUGAAUCAGAAUGUCGCGGUGAAUACGUUCCCGGGCCUUGUACACACCGCCCGUCACACCAUGGGAGUGGGUUGCAAAAGAAGUAGCUAGUUUAACCUUCGGGAGGACGCUUACCACUUUGUGAUUCAUGACUGGGG